rnacentral:rRNA from 1 species
UACGGAGGGUGCGAGCGUUAUCCGGAUUCACUGGGUUUAAAGGGUGCGUAGGAGGGCAGGUAAGUCAGUGGUGAAAUCUCCGAGCUUAACUUGGAAACUGCCGUUGAUACUAUCUGUCUUGAAUAUUGUGGAGGUGAGCGGAAUAUGUCAUGUAGCGGUGAAAUGCUUAGAUAUGACAUAGAACACCAAUUGCGAAGGCAGCUCGCUACACAUAUAUUGACUCUGAGGCACGAAAGCGUGGGGAUCAAACAGG